UAUUUGUGGCUGCCUGCAUCAAAGGGUUAGCAACAUGCACGCCAAGCGUUUUGUUUCUUUCUCCCUGCUGGCUUUCUGCCUUCUUCUUGCUGCUGUCACGGCUUUUCCCGAUGGAGACGAUUCGAAUGAGGAAAAAACUCCUGCUCAACUCGCUGUUGUAACUACAUUAACACAAGGUCUGGAGUGCCCUAAAUGGCACGAAUAUCGUCGCGGGAGGUGUGUUCGUAAAAAAUAGUGCAACUCCAUCAGCAUUACUGUACCUCCUGAAUUGUAGCAGAAAAAGAGAGAGGACACCGUACGUAAAAACGUGAAGAAAUUCAAAAUUAUAUAACAUUUUUUCAAGCUGGAUGUAGUAUGGAAAAAUUUAAUUAAAAAUAAAAUUGCAAGAUUUAGAACUUAAA